rnacentral:rRNA from 1 species
GACGAACGCUGGCGGCGUGCUUAACACAUGCAAGUCGAACGGAAAGGCCCCUUUGGGGGUACUCGAGUGGCGAACGGGUGAGUAACACGUGAGUAACCUGCCCUUGACUUCGGGAUAACUUCAGGAAACUGGGGCUAAUACCGGAUAGGAAUCCUUGCUGCAUGGUGGGGGUUGGAAAGCUUCGGCGGUUUUGGAUGGACUCGCGGCUUAUCAGCUUGUUGGUGGGGUAGUGGCUUACCAAGGCUUUGACGGGUAGCCGCCUGAGAGGGCGACCGGCCACAUUGGGACUGAGAUACGGCCCAGACUCCUACGGGAGGCAGCAGUGGGGAAUAUUGCACAAUGGGCGGAAGCCUGAUGCAGCAACGCCGCGUGCGGGAUGACGGCCUUCGGGUUGUAAACCGCUUUCAGCAGGGGCGAAGCUUGUGGUGACGGUACCUGCAGAAGAAGCACCGGCUAACUACGUG